rnacentral:rRNA from 1 species
UACGGGGGGAGCAAGCGUUGUUCGGAUUUACUGGGCGUAAAGGGCGCGUAGGCGGUCAGCACAAGUCAGUUGUGAAAUCUCCGGGCUUAACUCGGAAAGGUCAACUGAUACUGUGCGACUAGAGUGCGGAAGGGGCAACUGGAAUUCUUGGUGUAGCGGUGAAAUGCGUAGAUAUCAAGAGGAACACCUGCGGCGAAGGCGGGUUGCUGGGCCGACACUGGCGCUGAGGCGCGAAAGCCAGGGGAGCGAACGGG